rnacentral:rRNA from 1 species
UGGGGAAUUUUGGACAAUGGGCGCAAGCCUGAUCCAGCAAUGCCGCGUGCAGGAUGAAGGCCUUCGGGUUGUAAACUGCUUUUGUACGGAGCGAAAAGGUCUGCCCUAAUACGGUGGGCUCAUGACGGUACCGUAAGAAUAAGCACCGGCUAACUACGUGCCAGCAGCCGCGGUAAUACGUAGGGUGCGAGCGUUAAUCGGAAUUACUGGGCGUAAAGCGUGCGCAGGCGGUUAUGCAAGACAGAGGUGAAAUCCCCGGGCUCAACCUGGGAACUGCCUUUGUGACUGCAUAGCUAGAGUACGGCAGAGGGGGGUGGAAUUCCACGUGUAGCAGUGAAAUGCGUAGAGAUGUGGAGGAACACCGAUGGCGAAGGCAGCCCCCUGGGCCGAUACUGACGCUCAUGCACGAAAGCGUGGGUAGCAAACA